GACGAACGCUGGCGGCGUGCUUAAUACAUGCAAGUCAACUGAACUUGAGGUAGCAAUAUCACAAGAGAGGUGGCGCACGGGUGAGUAACACGUAGGUAAUCUGCCUUUAGGUCUGACAUAAUUCCGCGAAAGCGGGACUAAUAUCAGAUGAUGCAGCGGCUCGACAUCGAGACAGUUGUUAAACCUUCGGGCCUAAAGAUGAGCCUGCGUCUGAUUAGGUAGUUGGCGGAGUAAAAGCCCACCAAGCCUGCGAUCAGUAGCUGGUCUGAGAGGAUGAUCAGCCACACUGGAACUGAGACACAGUCCAGACUCCUACGGGAGGCAGCAGUAAGGAAUAUUGCUCAA
rnacentral:rRNA from 1 species